rnacentral:rRNA from 1 species
GAUGAGCGCUAGCGACAGGCUUAACACAUGCAAGUCGAGGGGCAGCGGGGGUAGCAAUACCCGCCGGCGACCGGCGCACGGGUGAGUAACGCGUAUGCAAACUUACCUAUCAGAGGGGGAUAACCCGGCGAAAGUCGGACUAAUACCGCAUGAAGCAGGGAUCCCGCAUGGGAAUAUUUGCUAAAGAUUCAUCGCUGAUAGAUAGGCAUGCGUUCCAUUAGGCAGUUGGCGGGGUAACGGCCCACCUAGUCUUCGAUGGAUAGGGGUUCUGAGAGGAAGGUCCCCCACAUUGGAACUGAGACACGGUCCAAACUCCUACGGGAGGCAGCAGUGAGGAAUAUUGGUCAAUGGGCGAGAGCCUGAACCAGCCAAGUAGCGUGAAGGAUGACUGCCCUAUGGGUUGUAAACUUCUUUUAUAAAGGAAUAAAGUCGGGUAUGCAUACCCGUUUGCAUGUACUUUAUGAAUAAGGAUCGGCUAAACUCCGUGCCAGCAGCCGCGGUAAU